GUGGGAGAAGAAAGGAAUUCUUUAUCAUUAUUUCCCAAUGUACCAGUUCCGGGUUAGCAAGCUGCUACACCUCAUGGAAUGGGAUUUGGCAUGCAAUGUCAAUGCCUGCAUUUCCUCAGAUAUCAAAAACUACCAACCCAUUUGAUCUUGGCAUUGAACCAACUCCAAUUCAUGCCCCAAUGGUUGUGAAAUGUGAGUUGCCGAUUGUCCCUGCAAGGGAAUUACCAUCUGAGGAAUGUCCAACCUAGCUCUCUAGUUCCCAAUCAACUAUAUUUUAAUCCUGCUAUUGUGAAAAUGUUGAGCAACCUGAAGGUAUAUAUUAUUGACAUAUGGAUUGUCUUUGACAUUUUGCAUUUUGCAUUUUAGCAUAACUGUUGCACACUUGCUGUAUGUUGAUGAAGUUUGGUUUUGCAAUAUGAAAGCAAUGCUCAGUUCGUGAGGUGGUCAACCAUGUGCAGUAAGCUUUCAGAUCAAAGCGAAGCUGAGAAUAAGGUGUUAGUUGAUGGAAAAUUGAUAACCAGUAAAGGCACAUCCAUGGAGUUGUCGCUUGCGAUUGUUGAGAAGCUAUUUGGCUGCGAGAAGGCAUUGGAUCUUGCUGUCAAUGAGAACUUUAAAUAGACAUAUAACUAUUAUAUUAGUAUUGUACUUUUGUCAAUGGAUUAAAAUGAAUGAGUGUAUUUGAUUGAAUGAAUGAAUGAUUGCAUUUAAUUGAAUGAAUAAAUGAUUUAGC